GGAGGAGGAGGAAGAGAGAGAAAGACAGAAGUAAAAACCCUUGAAGGAUGGCUCUCCAAAAUUGCUGUCGGAAGCACGGGGAAUCCCUGGUAGCGCGGGAGCGGAGCUCCUUUCUGGAUUUAUCCUGAACGAGGAGUUACUGAAUUAACGCCCAGGCAAUGAGUGUCCUGUGUGAGAUGUGUGCAGAAGUCCUUCAUAAAUGGCUUUGAUCUGGAGAGGUUGUGCUGCCUUUUUCUGGUCUGAAUAGGAACCAUCUCCCCUGCCCCACUCGGAUCCUGCGACAUCUCCACGUUUCCAGUGAGGUAGGAUAACCUUGCCAAAGAGGAAAGGAAUUUGGACAGACUUAACAUCCAGCCUGUGCAGCUUCCACGAGCUGGACGCUAAAAUGAAGAGAGAGUUUAUUCAUUCCCAUCUCAACACAGCCCACCAGAAUUAAAAGACAUUUGAACCUACAAGGGGGAUUGGGUCAAACGCUUCCCAAGCUGCCUGCACAGAGAAGGCUGUUCAAAUCCUCUGGCCACCAAGUCCCCACAUUUCUGUGCUGGAUGUGAAGAGCAAAGGGAGCCUGGCAGGAAUCAGGAGGCGUCCAAGUAAGAGACAGCACCAGACAUAGGGACGAGAACUGGUACAGAGAACAGACAUUAGGGGAGGAAAAAAAUCCACCCCAAAACCUCAGUUAUUUCAACACAUACCAAAAGUGGAUUGACAGUGGAUGAAGAGGAGGAGGAGGCAAUAGUGAACACACAACACAGCUCAAGCUGGCAAGGAGCCCUUUCUUGAAGAAUGUAAGUUUAACCUUUAGCAUUCAAGUGUCUGGGCUUAAGUGUCAUUAUGAGCAAUACUUUCCUCCAGCACAGCCUCUCCUGCUUGGAGG